rnacentral:rRNA from 1 species
AACGAACGCUGGCGGCGCGUUUUAAACAUGCAAGUCGAACGUGAAUCCCUGUGCUUGCAUAGGGAGGAAAGUGGCGAACGGGUGAGUAACACGUGGAUAAUCUACCUUCAGGUUGGGGAUAACCAUUCGAAAGGGUGGCUAAUACCGAAAAAGAUAGUAGUGACGCAAGUCGUAGCUAUUAAAGGCGGGGACCUUCGGGACCUCCGCCUGAAGAUGAGUGCGCGGCUCAUUAGCUAGUUGGGGGGGUAAUGGUCCACCAGGGCAACGAUGGGUAGCCGGACUGAGGGGGGUGACGGCCACGUUGGGACUGAGAUACUGCCCAGACGCCUACGUGAGGCAGCAGUGGUGAAUGUUGCACAAUGGGCGAAAGCCUGAUGCAGCGACGCCGCGUGAGGGAUGACGGCCUUGGGGUUGUAAACCUCUUUCAGCAGGGAAGAAGCGAAAGUGACGGUACCUGCAGAAGAAGCACCGGCUAACUACGUGCCAGCCGCCGCAGUAA